AUGUAGGACAAUCUGUCCUUAAGUAGGAGUAAAUUAUUCUUAAAGAAAAAAGAAAGGAAUUCUAGAUAGUUUUCUCUUCAAGUAUCUUGC
rnacentral:pre_miRNA from 1 species